UACGGGAGAAAGCAGGGGACCUUCGGGCCUUGCGCUAUCAGAUGAGCCUAGGUCGGAUUAGCUAGUUGGUGAGGUAAUGGCUCACCAAGGCGACGAUCCGUAACUGGUCUGAGAGGAUGAUCAGUCACACUGGAACUGAGACACGGUCCAGACUCCUACGGGAGGCAGCAGUGGGGAAUAUUGGACAAUGGGCGAAAGCCUGAUCCAGCCAUGCCGCGUGUGUGAAGAAGGUCUUCGGAUUGUAAAGCACUUUAAGUUGGGAGGAAGGGUUGUAGAUUAAUACUCUGCAAUUUUGACGUUACCGACAGAAUAAGCCCCGGCUAACUCUGUGCCAGCAGCCGCGGUAAUACAGAGGGUGCAAGCGUUAACCGGAAUUACUGGGCGUAAAGCGCGCGUAGGUGGUUUGUUAAGUUGGAUGUGAAAUCCCCGGGCUCAACCUGGGAACUGCAUUCAAAACUGACUGACUAGAGUAUGGUAGAGGGUGGUGGAAUUUCCUGUGUAGCGGUGAAAUGCGUAGAUAUAGGA
rnacentral:rRNA from 1 species